GCACAUGACUGAAUGGAGCGUAGCGGAGUCAGCCGAGGAUUGCCGAAUGGUGUUGGAAUUAUGCAUGUAGCAGGAAGUAUCUGUGCAUGACAUUGUUUAUAUUAAGCAUGGAAGAUAAAGUGUAUGCAACUAUAAACUUUUUAAUAAUGGAAUAUGUUGCAAUAGACAUCUACCUGAACAUGUGCUGAAUGAUGAUAGAUCUAAGGAUUUUAUUUGACCAUAAGGCUUGCAGAAGACGAAUAUAUAUUGGCUUUACAACAGUUACAAUGGGCAUAAGAUGAUGGUGAUAAGUCCAGCAUUACUGCAACUACGUACCAAGAUGUCUCAGGAUUAGAAACAGAAAAACGGAGAUGUCUAAAAAUACUAUUGUAAAGAGACCAGAAAAAAGUGUUAAACAAGAUAUCACCGAUGUUAUAUUGUGAUGAUAGUUUUAACAUUUAUAAGCAAAAUUUGUACUUUUACUCAAGAAAAAUCAAGGUGAAUUACAUAUUCAACAGUUUAAUUAUGAAAGGAUGGCUAAAACGUGUUAAAGAAAAUUCAUAUCAGAAGACAAACCAACUGGAAAAGGAAUACCACCUUCCAAACAUAAUUUGCAAAAAGUCAGUACAUGUAAUUCGGGCCUUAGCUCUUGCAAACCAUACCAUAGAUGUGAAAAGGGACAUCAAUGUUAGGGAUAAAAAUGUAUUAUAUCAACUCUUGCGAUUGUGAUUGUGUUGGACUUGGAUGUAUAAUUUUAAACUCUAUUUGGAAUGACUACAUAGUCUAUUGAUGAUGAAUUCAUUAUCUAUUUUUAAAGGUUUUGCUUUUUUAAAAAUUAUUUUUAAUGGUGUUAAUUCUCAUGGUUGACACUUUUACUUGUGCAGCAUUCAUUCCUAAUGCUUACUAUGUGUGUAUUUUAGAGAACUAGAGUUAGUGUAUUUUGAUUGCUUCAGUAAAAAAAUUCAUGAAGGGAUAAAUUAAAUUGAAAUAGUUAGUCCAAUAAUAUAUUUUGGACUCCGAUGGUAGUAGUUUGCUUAAGUGUCAUGCUCGGAUACGCAUCCCAUUGCAGAACGUGUAAUACAGUAGGUGCAGACACGGAAAAUCGCCAAAAUCGUAGGGCAGUUAAAGAAACAAACUAAGUAUUUUUUUGUUUAAAAAAUCAAGGAAAGAUUUGUUUUUUCUUCUCUUUAUUAGCAGGCAAAUAAAACGGUAAAUAC